GCAGAGGAGAGCGCCAGGACGCUACAGCGGCUGAAGAGGCAGUGGCGCCCGCGGCCGCAGCGUCGGGGCUGGAGCGAUGGCGGCGACCGCGGUGGCGGCGGCUGUGGCGGGAACCGAGUCGGCCCAGGGUCCCCCGGGCCCGGCAGCGUCGCUGGAGCUGUGGCUCAACAAAGCCACAGACCCAAGCAUGUCGGAACAGGAUUGGUCAGCUAUCCAGAAUUUCUGUGAGCAGGUGAACACUGACCCCAAUGGGUAAGGUAACUUCUCACACACAUAGUUGACUCUGGGGGCACCCCACACUGAGUGUAGGCCUUUGUCUCUCAAGACUGUUUUAGGGUUAAGCUCUCUAGGCAAGGAUCGGUGGCUCAUGCCUAUAAUCCCAACAGUUUGGGAGACCAAGGCAGGAGGAUUGCUUGAGCCCAGGAGUUUGAGACCUGCCUGGGUGACAGAGUGAGAGACUCUGUCUCAAAAAAAUAGAAAUGCAGUCAGGCUGGCAUUCAUUCUCUCAUUUUCCCCUAUAAUCCUGAGAACAUUAUUUUUCUAAAAUUAGCAAAUUCAUGUGGGGGAAAAAAAACACAGGAUAGCUCACUUGCAACUGGCAGU
rnacentral:lncRNA from 10 species